rnacentral:rRNA from 1 species
GGAUAACAGAGAAUCUGGGUUCGAUUCCGGAGAGGCCGCAUGAGAAACGGCGACCACUUCCAAGGAAGGCAGCAGGCACGCAAAUUACCCACUUCGGACACCGAGAGGUAGUGACGAACAAUACCGAUGCGGUGCACUUACGUGUCGCCGUAAUCGGAAUGAGUACACUUCAAAUCCUUUAACGAGGAUCCACUGGAGGGCAAGCCUGGUGCCAGCAGCCGCGGUAAUUCCAGCUCCAGCAGCGUAUAUUUAUAUUGCUGCGUUUAAAAAGCUCGUAGUUGAAGCGUCAGACGCGGGAGGACGGACGGCCGCACUGGUCGCUUCUCGUCCGACCGAGCCAGGCGCAGAGGGCGUCCGUCGGUUGCACUUCACCGUGUGAUCGCGGCGUCGCUGCACGUUCACCUUGAAGAAAUUGAACCGCUUAGAGGGGGCGAGCAGCUUGUACAGCUCAGCAUGGUAUGAUGGAACAUGGGCUCGUACUCAUUUUGUUGGUUUUGGAGUUCGCGAGCCAAUGAUUAACAGGGACUGCCGGGGGCAUUCGUACUCGAGCGUGAGAGGUGAAAUUCAAGGAUCGCUCGAAGACGUCCUACUGCGAAAGCAUUUGCCAAGAAUGUUUUCAUUAAUCAAGAACGAAAGUCAGAGGUGCGAAGGCGAUCAGAUACCGCCGUAGUUCUGACCGUAAACGAUGUCGACUGGCGAUUGGGCGCACUUCUGCCGAAGUUGCCGCCAGCAGUAUUCGCCCGGGAAACCAAAGUGAUUGGACUCCGGGGGGAGUAUGGUUGCAAAGCUGAAACUUAAAGGAAUUGACGGAAGGGCACCACCAGGAGUGGAGCCUGCGGCUUAAUUUGACUCAACACGGGAAACCUCACCCGGCCCGAACACUGUGAUGACAGACAGGUUGAGAGCUCUUUCUCGAUUCAGUGGUUGGUGGUGCAUGGCCGUUCUUAGUUCGUGGAGCGAUCUGUCUGGUUAAUUCCGAUAACGAACGAGACUCUUGCCUGCUAAAUACGCCGGCGUCGACUCAGGUCGGCGACCGCAUGCUUCUUAGAGGGACAAGCGGCUUUUAGUCGCGUGAAGCGGAGAGCAAUAACAGGUCAGUGAUGCCCUCAGAUGUUCGGGGCCGCACGCGCGCUACACUGCUUGCAUCAGCGUGUGUCACCCUCGCCGGCUGGCGUGGGCAAUCCGUUGAACCGCAAGCGUGCUAGGGAUCGGAGAUUGCAAUUAUUCUCCGUCAACGAGGAAUUCCUUGUACUUGCGAGUCAUCAGCUCGCGGGGAAUCUGUCCCUGCCCUUUGUACACACCGCCCGUCGCUACUACCGAUUGAGUGGUUUAGUGAGGCCCACGGACUGCGCGCGGCACCCGGCGCUUCGGCGUCGCGUCGCGAGCGGAAAGUGAGACGAACUUGAUCACUUCUAGGAAGUAAAAGUCGUAACAAGGUUUU